rnacentral:rRNA from 1 species
UGCAGUCGAACGAUGAAGCCCUUCGGGGUGGAUUAGUGGCGAACGGGUGAGUAACACGGGGCAAUCUGCCCUUCACUCUGGGACAAGCCCUGGAAACGGGGUCUAAUACCGGAUACCACUCCUGCCUGCAUGGGCGGGAGUUGAAAGCUCCGGCGGUGAAGGAUGAGCCCGCGGCCUAUCAGCUUGUUGGUGGGGUAAUGGCCCACCAAGGCGACGACGGGUAGCCGGCCUGAGAGGGCGACCGGCCACACUGGGACUGAGACACGGCCCAGACUCCUACGGGAGGCAGCAGUGGGGAAUAUUGCACAAUGGGCGAAAGCCUGAUGCAGCGACGCCGCGUGAGGGAUGACGGCCUUCGGGUUGUAAACCUCUUUCAGCAGGGAAGAAGCGAAAGUGACGGUACCUGCAGAAGAAGCGCCGGCUAACUACGUGCCAGCAGCCGCGGUAAUACGUAGGGCGCAAGCGUUGUCCGGAAUUAUUGGGCGUAAAGAGCUCGUAGGCGGCUUGUCACGUCGGAUGUGAAAGCCCGAGGCUUAACCUCGGGUCUGCAUUCGAUACGGGCUAACUAGAGUGUGGUAGGGGAGAUCGGAAUUCCUGGUGUAGCGGUGAAAUGCGU